CGCGGACGGCGUCGCGCGAGGGACAAGGUGCGCGAGGCGCACGCAUCUUCACCUCCACUGUCGGGAGUUGACCUGCUCCUCCCGCGUGGUUACCCGUCGCUGUAAAUGGUACCCUCGCCUUCCCGUUCAUACUAACUAAAAACUCCUCCCUCACUCCCCAUGUUCAUCUUUUACUGAGUCCUGUGCAUUCUACCGCCUACACAUCCGGCGGUCGUGCCCGGAUCUCUAUCCCCACUUACCACCACUGCCCCCCACCCACCCGUAGAUCACAACAUCCAGUUUCUCCUCAUCUCCAUGAUCUCGCUGUCUUCCAGCUUCCACUCAUGCCCCUCGCAUUCAUUAUCCGUCUGCAGCCACAGGUCUCCCUGGAAGACAGGCCCAUGAAGAGCUGAAGAAAGAAGUGGGAGGACAGAGGAGAACUCACACAAGGGGAUCAAGCUGGUGAAAACUGGAGAACCAGGCAGGGCCUGUGGAAGACUUCAUCUUGGCAGAGGGAAAAGGCUUCCAAGAAUCUUCCAGUUAUGCAAAGGCAAGGCCCAGCGGUACAUCUGGACAGAGUAGGGAUUGAGACAAGGAUGAAGGGGCUUUUCCGAAUAAAGUUGUGUUUUCCUUUGAUGAAAA
rnacentral:lncRNA from 1 species